rnacentral:tRNA from 1 species
GCGCCUGUAGCUCAAUUGGAUAGAGCAUCGGACUUCGGAUCCGAAGGCUGUAGGUUCGAGUCCUACCAGGCGCGCCA